GGACUGCAGGCUGCAACCCGCCUGCACGAAGCCGGAGUUGCUAGUAAUCGCGAAUCAGAAUGUCGCGGUGAAUGCGUUCCCGGGUCUUGUACACACCGCCCGUCACACCAUGGAAGUUGGGGGUGCCCAAAGCCGGCAAGCAAAUAUGCUGUCUAAGGCAAAACCAAUGACUGGGGUGAAGUCGUAACAAGGUAUC
rnacentral:rRNA from 1 species